GGGAGACCUCAUUGUCAGAUCUUUCAUUUGAGCUACCAACAUCAUCUGAGAGCAUGGAAAUAAUUGUUUAUGUUGAUGCUGAUACUGACAUCGAUAUCAUCACUCCUGAAAGUUCAUACUCUGAUGCUGCUGACCCAGAUGUGCCAUCACUCAAACGAACUGACAGCAUAUUU